rnacentral:lncRNA from 1 species
UUAUUUAAUGUGAGACUCAAAUCGUUGACGCGAUUUCCUCUGUAGUCACAUAGAGUCAUGCAAAGCCACUGAUGUAUAUUAGCCUUUCUGUAUUUAGAUUAGUUUAAUAUGAAAGUAAAACUCUACAGUGGAGUUCAAGUUUUCAAUUAUUAUUUUUGUCAAGUAAAGUCUGUCUUAUGAACUUAUGGUAAACAGUCAAAUUAAAUUGUUAACCACCUGCUUGUCCUUCUGAAAUUCGGAAGUUACUACUUUUAUAAUAACACCGAGGAG